rnacentral:sRNA from 1 species
UGCAUCUGAAGCCUGACGAGGAUGAGAACCUCCGGGGGCAAGAGGUUCGACUCGAGCGCAGCGAGAGAACGUUGCUUCAGCAACGGCCCGCAGGG